rnacentral:tRNA from 1 species
CGAGGUGUAGCGAAGCUUGGUAUCGCACUUGCUUUGGGAGCAAGGGAUCGCAGGUUCAAAUCCUGUCACCUCGACCA